GACGAACGCUGGCGGCGUGCUUAACACAUGCAAGUCGCACGAAGUGGCGCACGGGUGAGUAACGCGUAAACAACCUGCCCUUCAGAGGGGGACAACAGUUGGAAACGACUGCUAAUACCGCAUACUGAAGGCGGGGAUUGCGUCUGAUUAGCUAGUUGGGGGGGUAAGGACCCACCAAGGCGAUGAUCAGUAGCCGGUGUGAGAGGAGUAACGGGCACAACGGGACGGAGAUACGGCCCAGACUCCUACGGGAGGCAGCGUGGGGUAAGCUUCCGCAAUGGAAGAAAGUCUGGCGGAGCAACGCCGCGUGAGUGAUGACGGCCUGCGGGUAGUAAAGCUCUGUUAAUCGGGACACGGUACCGGAAUAGAAAGCCACGGCUAACUACGUGCCAGCAGCCGCGGUAAUAC
rnacentral:rRNA from 1 species